UACGUAGGGUGCAAGCGUUGUCCGGAAUUAUUGGGCGUAAAGAGCUCGUAGGCGGUUUGUUGCGUCGGCUGUGAAAUCCCGAGGCUCAACCUCGGGUCUGCAGUCGAUACGAGCAAACUAGAGUGUUGCAGGGGAGACUGGAAUUCCUGGUGUAGCGGUGAAAUCCGCAGAUAUCAGGAGGAACACCGGUGGCGAAGGCGGGUCACUGGACCGGAACUGACGCUGAGGCGCGAAAGCGUGGGGAGCAAACAGG
rnacentral:rRNA from 1 species